GGUUACGUAACCUUCCUUUUGCUGGAGGAUAGCCCCGAGAAAUCGGGAUUAAUACUCCAUAAUAUCAUUGAGAGGCAUCUCUUGAUGAUUAAAGCUCCGGCGGCAAAAGACGGGCAUGCGUGACAUUAGCUUGUUGGUGAGGUAACGGCUCACCAAGGCUGCGAUGUCUAGGGGGUCUGAGAGGAUGAUCCCCCACACUGGUACUGAGACACGGACCAGACUCCUACGGGAGGCAGCAGUGAGGAAUAUUGGGCAAUAGGCGCAAGCCUGACCCAGCCAUGCCGCGUGAAGGAUGAAUGCCCUAUGGGUUGUAAACUUCUUUUGUAUGGGACGAACCCCACGCUCGUGAGCGUGGCUGACGGUACCAUGCGAAUAAGCAUCGGCUAACUCCGUGCCAGCAGCCGCGGUAAUACGGAGGAUGCAAGCGUUAUCCGGAUUCAUUGGGUUUAAAGGGUGCGUAGGCGGAGCAAUGAGUCAGUGGUGAAAUCCUACAGCUUAGCUGUAGAACUGCCAUUGAUACUGUUGUUCUUGAAUGCAGUUGAGGUUAGCGGAAUGUGUAAUGUAGCGGUGAAAUGCGUAGAUAUUACACAGAACACCUAUUGCGUAGGCAGCUGACUAAACUGUGAUUGACGCUGAGGCACGAAAGCGUGGGGAUCAAACAGGAUUAGAUACCCUGGUAGUCCACGCCGUAAACGAUGAUUACUCGCUGUUGGCGAUACACAGUCAGCGGCUAGCGAAAGCAUUAAGUAAUCCACCUGGGGAGUACGACGGCAACGUUGAAACUCAAAGGAAUUGACGGGGGCCCGCACAAGCGGAGGAACAUGUGGUUUAAUUCGAUGAUACGCGAGGAACCUUACCUGGGCUUAAAUGCAGAAUGACUUCUUGUGAAAGCGAGAUUCUCUUCGGAGCAAUUUGCAAGGUGCUGCAUGGUCGUCGUCAGCUCGUGCCGUGAGGUGUCGGGUUAAGUCCCAUAACGAGCGCAACCCUUAUCGUUAGUUGCCAGCGGGUAAUGCCGGGGACUCUAACGAAACUGCCAGUGUAAACUGUGAGGAAGGUGGGGAUGACGUCAAAUCAGCACGGCCCUUACGCCCAGGGCUACACACGUGUUACAAUGGCCGGUACAGAGGGCAGCUACUAGGUGACUAGAUGCUAACCUCGAAAACCGGUCCUAGUUCGGAUUGAAGUCUGCAACUCGACUUCAUGAAGCUGGAUUCGCUAGUAAUCGCGCAUCAGCCACGGCGCGGUGAAUACGUUCCCGGGCCUUGUACACACCGCCCGUCAAGCCAUGGAAGCUGGGGGUACCUGAAGUCCGUAACCGUAAGGAGCGGCCUAGGGUAAAACUAGUGACUGGGGCUAAGUCGUAACAAAGU
rnacentral:rRNA from 1 species